GGCCGGGUGUGUAAGCGCAGCGAUGCGUUGAGCUAACCGGUACUAAUGAACCGUGAGGCUUAACCUUACAACGCCGAAGGUGUUU
rnacentral:rRNA from 2 species